rnacentral:lncRNA from 1 species
GUUUUUAGAGAAUCAAGCUUAGCGAGCUUGCUAAAGUUGUGGCUCAAAAGGCCGCAGCCCCUUCCUCGAAGGGCGUGGUUAUAUCGGCCCAUUGCCAGAGGCGAAGAAGAUCAAGAUUGGCAGUGAUGCGCAUGCGGCCCCUACGAGGUCGCCCAUCAUUCCCGGGGAGGGCAGCUCGGCGAGAUAUACCUGCGAGGCUCUGGGCCCCCAAGCUUCAGUGAUGACCAGUGCCGCUAUGGUAGAAAAGAUUCUGGCCAGGGUGAUACUCCCCGCCGAUAAGGAGAAGGUGGAGAAGCUCACCUUUGACCAAGUGGUGACGAAGUUCCUCCAUGUCCUUGGCCAGGUAUUUGUUUUCUUCCUCGAGGCCUCAUUUGUUAUUUCUCCUGUGUGGUAAUCUCCAGUGCUUGUCUGUAGCAGGGGGUUAUUCUGGGGUCUUCCCUCGCCGUCCGCAGUAGGGAUUUUGUCGAGGGCGCCCUCAAUCAAUGAGCUCUCGUGGAGUCUUCAGAAAUGGAGAUGGUACGAGCACAAAAUAGGGCCAUCGAACUAGAGGGGGCCCUGGCCGAGGAGAAAGCCAAAGGGAAGAAGGCUGCCGAGGAAGUCGAGGCAAGGAACGAAGUGGUGGCGAAGCUGGAGGCGCGAGUCGUCGAGCUGGAAAAAAAUCAGAGCCUCUCCGCGAGGAGGAUCAUCGCGGCAUUCAAGGAGUCUGAUGACUUUCUGGAGGCCGUGAUGGGAUCAGCGUCCUCCUACUUUGGCGACGACUUUGAUUUUUGCAAGAGGCAGCUCGCCCACCACUAUCCCAACCUCGGUGUGGAUUUGGAAGACAUCGAGAUAGAUCAAGACUUCCUUGCCCAGGAAGAGAUUGAGGCCGAGAGGAAGGCGGUCGAGGACAGAGGGGAGGUCGAGGCUGAAGGGGAGAAGAAAGGGGAUUAAAUGACGUCCUCUGUAAAUUGUAUUUUUUUUGUAAUGGCGAUCUCCAAUCUUCGUAUUUCGAAUAAAAGAAAUUUGUUGUUUCCUCUAGAUAAAUGGGCUUAUUUAUUUUUCUCCAAAUGAAUGAUAUUAUUUAUCGCCGUUCCUUCAGUUAGUCAGGAUUGCGGUGACUAUCUCCAAAGGCGACAGCGAUUUGGCGACGUAGAAUUCCAGACGUUGAAUAUAUAAGAUACUUGGUGUAGGCAAGCCAUAUAAGGCUAACUAGGUAUAAGACUUAACUAAUCGGGCGAGAUGCGUUUGACAAUUGGUGAUAGACGAUCAAGACAUCUCGUCACUAAUAAAUGGGCCUUAUUGUCGUUGGCGACGUCAGUAUUGAAUGGGCGUAUCAUCGUAUAAUCUGUCGCCUUAGUCUUCGUGAUGUUUUAUUUUUUAACUUAGCUUUAUACUCAGAUGACCGAGGUGGUGUACGAGUAUCCAUGGGGGAAAUGGUCUGUGCUGACAUGGAUGCGCAAUGAUGGCAUUCAUCCAGGUGGAACAUCAAUCAAAGCGAUUAAUGAGGGUAAUCUCUUACUAGGCCACGUGGACUGGGAAUUAAACGCGGAAUAGGGAGAGUCGGCGGGAAAACGAUUUGUGGCGAGAAUGGCGAUUUUUCAUCUCGGAACUCAAAACGUCACGAGAUCUGGGUCGUUGAGGCAGAUUGAUCGUAACCCUCAAAUCUACAUAUAUAAAUGGGUAUAUCCUAUUCAUUCACACUUUUUCCUCUUGUUGUCGAAGUGCUGCUCCGUUCCCAAAUUGCACCUCGCCACACAAAGCUCGCUGCUCCUAUUUGAGCAUUCGAGUUAUUGAUCCUUACCCCUGCGUCUUCUAGUUUAUGUCCCAUAGGAUCAAUCUAGGAGACAAGGAAUUUGGGCAAUCUUUGCCGUCUUGGAUAUCCGACUAUUUAGGAAGGAAGUCCUAUAUCACCGACGAAGCAAACCGGUCUCCCUUGCUCUUGAAAGGUUCUCUUUCAGACCAUUUAUCCCCUUAUCCCGAAAUGGACACCUCGAGCCUUACCAAGGAAACUAACGUCAUGUCCCAGACCGACCUAGAUAAGCUUAGGGAGAAAUAUUCCUUCUCCUUCGGGGUCCAACUUAGGAUCCCCGGAGAAGGCGAGACAAUUUUAUCUGCUCGCCAGGGCGAGGUGGCCUUUUACAAAGUUGUCUUCCUUGCCAGCUUAAGGCUCCCGAUUCACCCCAUCAUCAGGAGGAUUUUGAAUCAUUACAAAAUCUGCCCCUCCCAGGUUUCUCCCAACGCAUGGCAAUCUGUCAUUUGUUCGUUGGUAAUAUGGCGGUAUCACAAACGCCACAUGUCUUGCGAUGAAUUCAGGUGCCUAUACUUCCUCAGCCCAUUACCAAAUUCGGAGUGGUAUUAUUUCAAGGCGAAGCCCGAGAAGAAUCUGCUUCGAGGAUCUCCAAGUAAUGUAAAAGGGUGGAAAAAAAUGUUCUUUUUUGCCUCCGGGGACGAGUGGGAGUUCUUCUCGAGCAUGCCUGCUGGUUAGGGGAUUCCAUGGGUCCCUAGGUCUUGGGGGACACCA